rnacentral:lncRNA from 1 species
UUAACCUUUCACAUUAUUUACAAUUUAAUCCCUAGGCUCGUAAAAGGAUAUACAUGCAAUUCCUUGAUUACCCAAGCCUAGUCAAAUGCAUUAUAAACUCAUACUAUCCCACAUUUUCCUCUACUUCACAUUUCUAUCACAUAUUUUGUACCUUUUGCAAAAUGGUCCCUUUAGGGGCUUUUCAUGAAAAUUACUUGGGAAAAGAUGUUUAACACACAUCUAACUAUCAUAUUCUCCCAUAAAACAUUAAAGAACAAACAUGUCACACAUGGGUCACUUUGC